GCCCGGGCCCAUUGGUGCGCGCUCCCGCGCGGGGAGCCGGUUGGCUGUCGCGCGCGUCAGUCCGCGCGCCCCCGCCCCGCCCCGCGGUCCCCAGCCGGGCCGGGCCUCGUCCCCGGCGGCGCUGAGGGUGCCUCCCUCUCACCGAGAGAGCUCGUGGGCGUUGCUGGGCAUCAAGUCCCGAAUAGGAAUGUUAUGCUUUUAAACAAGAGAUAAAACUGCUGAAAAACCAGAGCUAGACCCAGCAACGAACUAAUGGAGAUGUGCAGCAAAAUGGGUUGAGAGCACGGCUGCCUUAUUCCACUUUGUUUUUGCAGUGUCUUCAGUUUUGCUUCUGAGAGUGCUCCGUAUCUAAAUGGGUUUGUCAAAUUGGCAAAGAAGAACAGACAAACUCCGGUGUCUGUUGCAUCCUGAUUUAUCCACUUUGCUUCAGACAGCCUAUGAAGGAGAUCUACUGCAAUGUGCCUGUGAACCUUCCUUGCAAACAGAUAAGGAGUUUCUGUUUUCAACCAGUGCUGGCUGAGCUGAAACU
rnacentral:lncRNA from 1 species